AGGCCAAGGCAGGCGGCUGGGAGGUGGAGGUUGUAGCGAGCCGAGGUCACGUCACUGCACUCCAGCCUGGGCACCAUUGAGCACUGAGUGAAGGAGACUCCGUCUGCAAUCCCAGCACCUUGGGAGGCCGAGGCUGGCGGAUCACUCGCGGUUAGGAGCUGGAGACCAGCCCGGCCAACACAGCGAAACCCCGUCUCCACCCAAAAAACACGAAAAGCAGUCAGGCGUGGCGGCGCGCGCCUGCAAUCGCAGGCACUCGGCAGGCUGAGGCAGGAGAAUCAGGCAGGGAGGUUGCAGUGAGCCGAGAUGGCAGCAGUACAGUCCAGCUUCGGCUCGGCAUCAGAGGGAGACCGUGGAAAGAGGGAGAGGGAGAGGGAGAGGGAGAGCUACAUUUCUAUUAUGUUAGAGCCAUUACACAUCUUGAAGCCUUUUUAGAGAUAAAAGAAAAAGCAGUUAAGCUAAUCUAACUCUUCUUUUUUUUUUUUUUUUUUUUUUUUGGAGACAAAGUCUUGCUGUGUCACCCAGGCUGGAAUGCAGUGGUGCGAUCUUGGCUCAAUGCAACCUCCACUUCCUGGGUUCAAGCAAUUCUCCUGCCUCAGCCUCCCAAGUAGCUGGGACUAGCACUGCCACGCCCAGCUAAUUGUUAGUAUUUUAGUAGAGAUGGGGUUUCACCGUGUUGCCCAGGCUGGUCUUGAACUCCUGAGCUCAGGCAAUCCACCUGCCUCGGCCUCCCAAAGUCCUGGGAUUACAGGCAUGAGCCACCACACCUGGCCUAUUCUAACUCUUUAAUUAAAAAAUUAUUAUCUUGAAGUAGAAAACAACUGUUUGGAAAAUGUGCAUAUAUGAGAAUUGGCUUAAUGUUUUGGCACCAGAGAAAGCAAAGACUCAGAUAGGGCAGGAUGGGAAGCUGGAGAUUCCUCUUAUUCCAUGGGCAAAAUAUUUGGUAAAAUUGUCCUCUCUGUUAACUUGCAUAUUAACUUAAUAUCUACCAGGCCUGCAGCUCUUGGGGCAGGAGUCAGCAAACUAUGACUCAUGGCCAGUUUAGCUUGUUGUCUGUUUUUGUAAAUAAAGUUUUACUGGAACACAGCCAUGCCCAUUCAUUCACACAUUGUCUAUGGCUGCUUAUGUACAAGAGUAGCAUUGAGUAGUUGCAAGAGAAACCAUAUGGCCCUCAAAGCUUAAAAUAUUUACUACCUAGCCCUUUAAGAAGUUUAUCAACCCCUGAUAUAGGCAGUAGUGGGAUCUAGGUGAUGAUGGAGCUAAGAAAUGAAAGGAGCCACCCAGUAACCAGGACCUGUACUGUUAAAAUGAACAAGAAAUUAACUUCUAGAGUAUUUCAGUUAUUAACUACUUUGGAAUUUAUUUCAGCAGGUUAGCCUGCCCUACUGUGGCUGAUUGAUGGCAGGCAUGGCCUCAAAUCCUCACCCCUCCUUGGGUCUUUUUCCUAUGUAACUUUGCAGUGCCUUCCCAUUGCAGAAGGGCCUUUCUGUCCCAACUCUCAACUUUAGGUUUUGCCAUGUGAUUUACUGUGAUCACUGGAAUAAUAGCAAAUAUAACACAAGCGAUGACUUGAAAAAGCACUUGCACACUCUUGCUUUUUCCCUCUUGUUCCUCUGACAUUGCCAUGAGAACAAGCCCAGGCCAACCUGCUGGAGGAUGAGACACAUGGAACAGAAUGCCCAGCCACCGCCCUCAGACAUGUAAGAGAGCCCAACCCAGAUCAGCAGAGCCAUCCAUUCAACCUACAAAUUCGUAGGGAAAAAUAAGUGCUUAUUGCUAUAGGCCACUGAGAUUUUAUGGUUGUUACACAGAGCAUUAUUGUGGUAAUAAAUAACUGUAUAUCUACUAACACAUAAUAGAUAUGUGUUACUCAUUCUUAUUUAUAAGCUGAGGUGCUUAUCUUAUAUAAAACCUUUCCAAAAUCUUAUGAGGUAGUUAUCAUAUUUCCAUUGUACAUAGAAAGAAAAAGGUUCAAAAAGGUGAAGUGACUUGACCAAGUUGCCCCAGCUGAAAAAUGUCCAAGCUAGGGCUUUAGCUUUGUCUUCACAAAUCCAAAAGGUUUUGCCACAGAAUUAAAGCGGUCUGUCUAAUAUCUUACUCAAGUAUCACACAUUUAAAUGCACACAUGAGCCAGGCAAGUUGUAUCAACUGUGAAAGAGACCACUGUCAUUGUCAGAGAGCUGUCAGGGAAGGGUACAGAUCACCAGAACUGGAAAGGCAUGCCCCUUCUUGAGGGGCUGCCACAAUUCAACUCGGGCCAACUGCUGCCACACAGAGACGGGGCCCAGGUUGCCACAUUGCUUGGUUUUUCAAGAGAAGUAAGAAAUCCAGAAUUUAUGUAAACUGUUCUAUUUUUAAAUGUUAGUUCUGUUUUUAAAAAUACAGUGCAAACCAAGUGAAAUACAUGUGCAAUAUUUGGCCCACGACUGCCAGCAUGUGGCCUCUGCCUUAUAUUUGCACAACAAUUUACAGUUUGACAAGCAGUUUUACAUCUAUUAUGUCCUUUCUCCCUUAUAAAAGCCCUGUCAAAGCUAGGCACAGUUGUGUGCACCUGCAGUCCCAGCUACUUGGGAGGCUGAGGCAUGAGGAUCGCUAGAGCCUAGGAGUUUGAGACUAGCCUGGGCAAUAUAGUGAGGCCCUGCCUCUGGAAAAAAAAAAAAAAAGCCCUACAAAGACAGAAAAAAUAGAGGUUAUUAUUAAAACUUUUAGAGAUGUGGAAACUGAGGCUCAUAGAAAGUAAAUAACUUGCCCAAGUUCACAUAGCCAAUUAAUAAGAGUCAAGGCUAGCAUUCCCAGCCCUUAGGGUUUCUGUACUUUUUCCUUUUUCUUUUUUUUUCUUCUUACAAUAUAAUAUAAUUCAAUCUUAUUCCUUUUUCACAUAAUGGUUGAAAGUUUUUCUGUGUCUGAGGUAAGAGCAGUAGCAGGUGGCGGUGGAGGCUCCAUUAUUUCAGAAAGUGAUGGUCUAGUCAAAUUGCCAAGGCUCUGCACUGUGGGCAGAUCUUUAUUUAAAUUAGGAAACUGAUUACAGUCAUUCCUCCAAAUAGUUUACUUUCUCUGAUUAUUUUGUUUCCUCUGUAAGUGAACCAUAUCUACUUAUUUAAUUUAUUAAAAUCUGCCUACCCAUCAAAUAGCCUUAGGCUAUGAAAACAAAGCAAACUCAUAAUUAAAGUAUUAAUAGAGCUUUAAAAGCUAGCAGAAAUGAUAAAAAAACAUAGGCAUUACAUCUAUAAAUUAAGCAUAAAAUUACAUUAAGGAAUAAUUUCCUCCUGGCAUCCAAUCAAGGUAGCUCAGCAGACUGCAAAGACAACAUAACAUGCAGCAAACCAUCUAAUAAAUAAAUGGCCCUCAUCAAAACAAGCAUGUAAUUUCUGCACAGGAAGCGGUACUGUUUUUACUUAGUUAACUUCUCUUUAAUCAUUUAAGCAAAUUUAUAUUUGAAUGAGGAAAGCCAGAGGGCGUGUAGGAGGCAGGGAAGAUGAGUAGAUGUCUUUUCACAGCUCACGGCUGGCUCAGAGUGUCCACAAACGUUUUCAAAAGUCAGGGCAUUCCUGGAGUCAUCUGUUGCUAUUCUGGGGCUCUAGUUUUUCAAAUGAACUCAAGAGGCUGAAGCGAAGGAGACAGUAAGCACAGAGGGAUGGUAGUAGGGACAUGCAGUGUCACCCAUCCAUACCAGGAACGUAUCUAUCUUUAGGAGAAAGGCCAUUCACAAUGAUACUUCCACUAAUGCUAAUGAGAUGUUAGACACGACAGCUUAUAGACUUACAACAGUCCAUGGAUUGCCCACAUAGAAGAGAAAACACAAUUCAGUUGAUGCUGAACAUAAAAUGUGCUUGAGGAAUUCCCUUAUUGAAAUUUCAGCCUUUUUUUCAUAUUAUUUUGACAUUAAAAAAUAUACUUUGGGGGCCUCUCUCUAAAAAAAAUUCAGGGCUUUUUUUUAGGACCAAAAUUAAUAAAGAUUACUCUCUCAAAAUACUGCUGUCAUCCUGCCAAGUAAAUAAAGUGACUACUCAACCAGAAAUUGCACCUUGAGUCCUUAGUCAUCACCAAUCCAAAUUCUGUUAGCUAUUACCAUUGCUUUGCUUUUUUUUUUUUUUUCUAAGCAAGUCACUCAGCACAAAAUAUUCUAGAAACAUCAGAGUGAUACAAUAUAGUCCUGAGGAGACAUGGCAACUAGACAAGUGAUUUUUGGGGGAAAAAUAUGGGUGUGGAUUCUCCACCACUAAGGUCCCGGAGUGUGCUGCUUUAGAGAUGGAAUUCCUGGAAAGAUUCCUUUAGCAGAGUUUUAAAUUCACCCAUCAAAGCAAUAGCUGAGAUGAAUGUCUUGUUGGAAGCAGCUUAGCAUUUUACUAACUAGUUCAACUUUUGUAGUCUUCGCACCAGACAUUUAUAGGUGAUUGCUUUCAAGGAGGUAGAAAGCUGCGUACAGGGCACGUUGCUGAGCCUGGCGUCUGGCCCAUCUGUGCCAGUUGGCUGAACACCCAGAUUAUGUAGAAUGGGGAGACAGUAAGGUCAGGCUCCUCCUUCCACAAGUAGGUUUGGGCACCAGAGAAAUCCAUUAAUAUUUCUCCUUGAAAGAAACAGGCUUGUUAAACACAGAGAAAAUGGAGCUGCCCCACAUCCCACACUUGCUUUUAUGUGUAUUUCUAGCAAGUGACCAAAGACCAGUAUUUAGGAUUCCCACAGAGGACUGACUUUCUUGGUUAAAAAACAUCUGCCAGAUUUGUUUUUCAUGGAGACAGCCACUUCCCGACCCCUGUAAUAUUCUUUCUGGUAAAAGAUUACUGGGGUUAAAAAUGAGAGUUUUAUUAAAUCCUGCCUGUGUCCAGUCAAGCCUUUUAGUUCUACACCACUAUCCUUUUCACUUUAUUCAAGUAGAGCGAAUCUUCAAUAGCAAUCAUUUGAAAACCAAACAGCUGUCUCCUCCAAAAUUGCUUUUUUCUUUUCAUCAUAUAUCUUUCCCUAAUUAUUAAUGCCACAAACACGUAUCAAAGUCCACUCUGUGAAGUGGUUCUCCCAGGCCUGAGGACAUCACUGAAGAAGACACUGUCCCCACACUGUCCCCAGCUGAUGUUAGUCAAGGGAGGAGACUCUUGCACAAACUGUUUUCACAUUUGACUACUACCUUCAUCCUGUGUAGAUAACUCAGCAUCCUACUUCUCAUUUUUAUUAAAAAUGUCUGAGUAUGAAAGAUAUAGUCACUGAAAAAACUAAAAAGUACUGACAUAUAUGAAGGAAAUGAGUAAAGUCAUGUGUAAUCCUGUCAUUCAGAGAUAUUUGUUAAAAUGUUGGUGGGUUGUGGGGGAGACUCUUUCCAGAAUGUUUUAAAGGUAUGUAUAUACCCAAUUAUAUCUACUAUUUUGUAAAGUUUAUAGGUGGAGACAAGUGUAAGAGAGAACAAAGAGAGGGAGAGAAACAGAAAAAGAGGAGUGACUAAAGCAAAGAGACAGAGGCAGAGCGGGGAGAGAGACAAGGAGGAAGGGCAAUGGCAAGCUGGCAGGGUCCUUAAAUCAAUUUAGGUCUCCUUCCUCGCCAGGAUGAUCAGCCAGUCGCAGGGUCACGGGCCCGCCAAUUAAAAAACCUUUUAUCCUACUGUCCUUUCCAAGCACACUGCAUCAAUAAGCUAAUCCAACCCUGCAGUUACCUCCUGCCCACAAGCCCAAGGCCACUGAAAAUUACAGGAGGCCAAUUCAUAAAAAAUGCACUGCUGUUUCCUGACUAGUGGUUUAAAAACAUUCUUUUCCAAAUUUUUAAAUAAUUAUUUAUUUAGCGUUACUUUAUGCUUAUACCUCAAUAUCUGAUUACCUUGUCAAGUCAUCUUCUGUUUUGGCAAAAAAAAAAAAAAAAAAAGCCUGUUCACAACCUGGCAAAAGAUUCUGGCUGAGCCCAAGGUCACCACCAUAGAGAAGCAGAUUGAGGAUACUCAAAUCUACUAGCCCAAGUGUAUUUUUGAUUAAAAAAUACAACCAAGCCAUGUGUCAGAGCCAAGAUACCUAAAUGCAUGGCCUUGUCCAGGCAAAACUGUAAGUGAAUUUGUUUUGGACUUCAUAUGUGGGGGUUUUGAUGUUAAGUAGACAAUAGCUAUGUUCUCAUUCUGGUUAGAAUAAGAGAGCAAAGUCUUAGGCAAUCCUUAUCAAGGAGUCCCCUGCCUGCGCUGAUAACCACCCGGAAAGCAUUCUUCAUGUUUCCAUCCGAGGACUUGACCACACCAAGUAUUUACUCCCAAAGCAGCCAGUGAAACCCUCAAGAGAUCUGUCUGGAGAUCAUCUGGGCAAGUGGGGAAGAGGACAGCAAAAGCAUUAGGUUCAUUGUCUUCUGCUUGGGAACAGCCACUCCUGGCAAACAGCAGUGACCACUCCAGGGGAUGCCCAGCAGCAAUGGGAGCCAGCACCACUCCCACCUCUCACAAAGCCCAUUGCCACCGAAGAAAAUGUGCUCAUCUCAACCUCAUUUUUGCCUCCUUGUGAGAGUCUUCCAACAGCUAGCCUUUCUGCUAGGCAUUAGCAAGGAUGAACACAAUGAGCUCGUGAUUGCCUCUGGGAACACACUACAUUCUGUAGUUGUUUUAAAAAUCAUGAAAUAACUCUCAGCCACGACCAACAGUGUCUGUCAGUGGACUGUGUAAGGCACUGGGAGGGCAAGCAAUUUUCUCUAAAUGCUUCCUGAUGAUCCAUUCUCCGGAUCUCCCUUAUCUCCUCCCAUCUGAAGACAGACUGCCAGCAAAGGCACUCCCUGGCCAGCUUCAGGGCCGGCAGAACGGCAUAAAUCAGUUUUAGAGCAGUGGUUACAAUGAGGGUAAGGAAAGCUACAUGCAUCUGUCCUCUCUCCACUAUCCUAAACCUUGUCAUCUUAUUAUCUGAUAACACUGGCAUGGCCUUCCAACAGCUUCCCUCUGCCCCGCAGAGGGGCGGCCUUGGAGACCGGGAAGGAGGCAGGCCUGCCCAGCCUGUGGUGGGCAGAAAUGGGAAUCAGACCACCCACCUACCUACCUAGUGCUUGGAACUCUGAAGCUUUCCCUCCAAAAAUGUCACAGGACUGAUUGCAUGGUAAAAGUUUUGGACUAUAGGGGAAAAAACCAGGUAGGUAAGUUCACCGAAGCCCUGAGCAAGAGCCCUUAGGGGUGUGGGUCUGAGCAAUUCUGCAGCCCACCUGCUUCCAAAGUGACCCGCUCAGCAACGAUCUGUCCGUGGCUCCAUCUGCAUUGCGGCUCCCUCAUGGUCUGGGCUACUCUGGGAGAGGAAGGUGUCACACAGCUAAGGGGAAGGGAACCAGCCCCACUCCUUGAGCUGCAUUAAUCCCCACGGGGAAAGCAGGUGAGGCCCAUCACAGGGGCACAGCAGGCAGUUUACCGGAACGUGCAGGCGGAGGGGUACGCAGCAGUUUUCAAUCAUAGUUUAAGUCAAAUUUACUGAAACCUUACUAAUUUUAACUCUUCUGAUGCCGCAGCUGACAUAAUCACGGUCACAUGACUCGCAGCUGUAAUGUUCUUAAAAAGGAAGCUUCUUCUUCAGGAUGAUACCAAUUAAUGCAGGACAGAAAGAACAGCCAGGUCUAGUUCUCCAAGGGGGAAUGAGUGGCUUUGGAAAUUCUUCCUCUUACCUUGUUUUGUCCUCUUCGGCACGUUCGCUGCUCACAUCCAAUGCUGCUGCAACGACAAGCAAAAAAACAGAAUCAUGACAGCCACCUGACACCCGAGGCCCUGCCGCCAGCCUGCUGGGGCCGCCUGAGGUACCAGGGUCCAGGCAUUAUUUUUCACUCCCUGUGCUCCUGGCAGAGGAGGAAGGGCCUUACCUGCCAUUGUUCCACCUGACCGAAGAUGAGACUAAACCAGGGGAAAUCCUGCUCCCAGGAAAAAGGACUGGGAGAGAUGAAUAAUUAAUAAUGCCCCAGAACUUGAAGCGGAACGGAAGGCUUGUAUCUCCCUCUAGCUCUGCUGAACAUGGAGCAGGGGCUGGGAAAAAUGAAGACUGGUUUGCAGAAACACUGGGUGAGAAGCAUAAACUUAAGAACCAGCACUGCCCACGUCUUUGGCUACUGAGGCUCCACACACCUUUCUAAAAACUUUUUCUCUCAUGCCCCACCUCCAACCUGCCAACAAAUCCUCUGAGUUCUAUCUGCAACAUAUUUUCAGGAUUCUACUUAUUCUCCCCACUCUGCUGCCACCACUGUGAUCUAAACAGCAGGCCUCACUUGGAUCACUGCAGUGGCCUCCUCAGGGGUGUCCUUGGCUUCCCUGAGAGUCAGUUCUCCAUCCAGAAGCCAACAAGAUUGCGUUCAUUAAUGAGGACUGCUGGAACAAAUUACCACAAACUUGAGGGAUUAAAACAACGGAAAUUUAUUCUUUUACAGUUCUGGAGGCCGGAAGUCUGUGAUUAAGGUUUUGGUAGGGUUGGUUUCCUCUAGAGGCUGUAGGGGGAAGAUCUUAGAUGUUCCACACCUCUCUCCUAGCUGCUGGUGGGUGCUGGUGAGCCUUGGAGUCUUUGGUUCUUAGACGCAUCGCUCAGGCGUCAGCCUGUGUUUUCCCAUUACCUUCUUCUCUGCAGCUGUGUUCACUCCUUAUCUCCCACCAGUCACUGGGUUUAGGGCUUACCCUGAACCUAGUAUGAUCUCAUCUUGAGAUCCCUAACUUAGUUACAUCUGCAAAGACCGUAUUUCCAAAUAAGGUCACAUUCACAGGUACUAGGAUAUAUCUAGUCUUAGACAUGGACAUAUCUAGAUUUGGACAUAUCUUUUAGGGCUUGGUCUUCAACCCCCUGCAGUGAUGCUGUUAAAACACAAAUCACAUCACAUCACCCCUCCGCUCAAAAUCUUCCAAAGAGUCCCAGCUCAUCCUGAGUCCAAACUACACUGCUCCCGAAUCUGUCACUUCCCCUUUCUGAUUGCCCCUCCUUCUGCUCUCAUGUUUCUCACACCCCUGAAACUACUCUGGUCCUCAACACUCCACACACAGGCCAGCCUCGGCCUUUGCACACACUGUCUCUCUACCUGAAACACUGUCCCACUAGUUACUCCUGUGGCCCACUGCCUUGGAUUCUUCAGAUCUUUUCUCAAAAGUUAUCCACUCAGUGAGGCUGCCCCAGACCAUGUUGUAUACAACUUCCAUCCUCAUUUCCUACUUUUUUUCUCACCAUAGCAUUCAACAAUAUAACAUACUAUACAUGAUUUUUAUUAAUUUUCUUUCUCCUGUCAGUAAAAUCUAUGCUCAAUAAGGACAAGGAUUUUUUGCCAGUCUCAUUCACUGCUAUACCUGAAGCACUUAGAAUAGUACCUGGCACCUAUAGGCCCUCAAAAAUUGUACUUUAAAAUGCAGCAUAUACAAUUGGAAUCACACAAAGUAGAAUAUACUAGCAUUCCUGUGUUGGUAAGGCACAAUACUACAGCAGCAUUAAAAACAGCAAGUGCUGCUGUAGAUGAAAACAUAUGCUUUUACAUCACAGCAAAUCCUAAUUUAGUGUAUUUGACUCACCUUAUCCUGAUGACAUCUGAGGAUACCAAAGUAGAAUGCGUGAUUGCCACCAAUGGAGUUAGUUUAAAAUUUUCCUCAGAUAUAAAUAAAACCCAACUUUGAUCAACAGUGAUAAAAGAAAAGCUGAAUUAUUUCUAUUCUCUUGGUUG
rnacentral:lncRNA from 10 species